rnacentral:rRNA from 1 species
GACGGAGGAUGCAAGUGUUAUCCGGAAUCACUGGGCGUAAAGCGUCUGUAGGUGGUUUAAAAAGUCUAUUGUUAAAAAUUGAAGCUUAACUUCAAAGAUGCAAUGGAAACUUUUAAACUUGAGUAUGGUAGGGGUAGAGGGAAUUUCCAGUGGAGCGGUGAAAUGCGUAGAUAUUGGAAAGACCACCAAUGGCGAAGGCAACUCUACUGGGCCAUUACUGACACUGAGAGACGAAAGCUAGGGGAGCAAAUGGG